rnacentral:rRNA from 1 species
GAUGAACGCUGGCGGCGUGCCUAAUACAUGCAAGUCGAGCGAAUGGAUUAAGAGCUUGCUCUUAUGAAGUUAGCGGCGGACGGGUGAGUAACACGUGGGUAACCUGCCCAUAAGACUGGGAUAACUCCGGGAAACCGGGGCUAAUACCGGAUAACAUUUUGAACCGCAUGGUUCGAAAUUGAAAGGCGGCUGCGGCUGUCACUUAUGGAUGGACCCGCGUAGCAUUAGCUAGUUGGUGAGGUAACGGCUCACCAAGGCAACGAUGCGUAGCCGACCUGAGAGGGUGAUCGGCCACACUGGACUGAGACACGGCCCAGACUCCUACGGGAGGCAGCAGUAGGGAAUCUUCCGCAAUGGACGAAAGUCUGACGGAGCAACGCCGCGUGAGUGAUGAAGGCUUUCGGGUCGUAAAACUCUGUUGUUAGGGAAGAACAAGUGCUAGUUGAAUAAGCUGGCACCUUGACGGUACCUAACCAGAAAGCCACGGCUAACUACGUGCCAGCAGCCGCCGUAA